UGACCGCGUAUGAAGUACGUUUUCACCCUCGGGUGACAGGGAGACAGGUGGUGCAUGGUUGUCGUCAGCUCGUGUCGUGAGAUGUUGGGUUAAGUCCCGCAACGAGCGCAACCCCUACGUUUAGUUGCUAACGCGUGAAGGCGAGCACUCUAGACGAACUGCCGUUGACAAAACGGAGGAAGGUGGGAUGACGUCAAAUCAUCAUGCCCCUUAUGUUCUGGGCUACACACGUGCUACAAUGGCCGGUACAGACGGACGCAAAGCCGCGAGGUGGAGCAAAUCCUAAAAAGCCGGUCUCAGUUCGGAUUGCAGGCUGCAAUUCGCCUGCAUGAAGUCGGAAUCGCUAGUAAUCGCAGGUCAGCAUACUGCGGUGAAUACGUUCCCGGGCCUU
rnacentral:rRNA from 1 species